AUGAAAACAAACGAAAAAGAUAACAACCAAAAGCGACAACAAUACAAUGUCUCAACAGGCAAGCAGAAUUGCGAUGCAAAGAUUAUGGACAAAAUUGCAAGUUUUGAAAGACUGUUUGGACUGGUUAUGCAGGGGCAGCAAGGCUGGUUUUGCAGUGGGUGGACAACAGGUUAUGAAGCAACACUAGCAGAGUUUGGGACUCAUUGUGCAAGGGCAGCAGGGCUGGUUUUGCAGGGUAGCGGCAUGGUUGUUUUGAUUUGUAGCUUGAGGUUUUAG